rnacentral:rRNA from 1 species
CCUGAAAGCACAUCCUCUUUCGCUCUACAAGUAUCAGGUGCCAACAGCAGACUCAAACACAUAAGGGAUGCCGUCGUUUUUAUUGCAGUUAAUAAUUCCGUCGGUGGCCAAGUUUGUCACUCGUAGUCCAAAUAACAGACACAACCCACAAGUAACAUCGUCAUCACACUCAUGACCUGUCGGAAGACGGUGGUAGCAAAUGGAGGCUGAGCGGUCGGUCGGCGGUAGCAGAUGGAGGACAGCUGGAGCACAGAGCGGCCUGUCGCGUCAGCAGUUUGAGACAGAGUGGCCCGUCCGUGGCGACAGAUGGAGACGAAACAUCAAUUAACACACGAUCGUUAAGGAGGCCUUUUGAACAAUCCAAUAAGAUUGAGACGGUACAUAGGCACUAGAACAAAAGACUUAUACAUGAAAAAAAAUCACUAAAAGUAAAAGUAAAAUAAAUAGUAUCGUGAGGGU